GGCCCUACGGGGCGCAGCAGGCGCGAAAACUUUACCAUGCGGGCAACCGUGAUAAGGAAACCUCGAGUGCCAGCACAGGCAGGCUGUUCAACAGCUUAAAUCACUCGUGAAGAAAGGGCCGGGCAAGACCGGUGCCAGCCGCCGCGGUAAUACCGGCGGCUCGAGUGGUGGCCGCUAUUAUUGGGCUUAAAGGGUUCGUAGCUGGAUAAUUGGGUCCCUUGAGAAAUCCGCCAGCUCAACUGUCGGGCGUUCAGGGGAAACUUGUUUUCUAGGGACCGGGAGAGGUGAGGGGUACUGCGGGGGUAGGAGUGAAAUCCUGUAAUCCCGGUGGGACCACCUAUGGCGAAGGCAUCUCACCAGAACGGGUCCGACAGUGAGGGACGAAAGCUGGGGGAGCAAACCGGAUUAGAUACCCGGGUAGUCCCAGCCGUAAACUAUGCGCGUUAGGUGUGUCAGUGACCACGUGUUACCGAGGUGCCGAAGGGAAACCGUGAAACGCACCGCCUGGGGAGUACGGUCGCAAGGCUGAAACUUAAAGGAAUUGGCGGGGGAGCACCACAACGGGUGGAGCCCGCGGUUUAAUCGGACUCAACGCCGGG
rnacentral:rRNA from 1 species